GCCCCUGUGGUCCAGCGGUUAAGACUUCUCGCUUUCACUGAGACAACGAGGGUUCAAGUCCCUCCGGGGGUG
rnacentral:tRNA from 1 species